GACGAACGCUGGCGGCGUGCUUAACACAUGCAAGUCGAACGGAAAGGCCCUGCUUUUGUGGGGUGCUCGAGUGGCGAACGGGUGAGUAACACGUGAGUAACCUGCCCUUGACUUUGGGAUAACUUCAGGAAACUGGGGCUAAUACCGGAUAGGAGCUCCUGCUGCAUGGUGGGGGUUGGAAAGUUUCGGCGGUUGGGGCUGGACUCGCGGCUUAUCAGCUUGUUGGUGGGGUAGUGGCUUACCAAGGCUUUGACGGGUAGCCGGCCUGAGAGGGUAACCGGCCACAUUGGGACUGAGAUACGGCCCAGACUCCUACGGGAGGCAGCAGUGGGGAAUAUGGCACAAUGGGCGGAAGCCUGAUGCAGCAACGCCGCGUGCGGGAUGACGGCCUUCGGGUUGUAAACCGCUUUCGCCUGUGACGAAGCGUGAGUGACGGUAAUGGGUAAAGAAGCACCGGCUAACUACGUG
rnacentral:rRNA from 1 species